CCUACGGGUGGCUGCAGUGGGGAAUUUUGGACAAUGGGCGCAAGCCUGAUCCAGCCAUUCCGCGUGCAGGAUGAAGGCCCUCGGGUUGUAAACUGCUUUUGUACGGAACGAAACGCGCUGAGCUAAUACCUCGGCGUAAUGACGGUACCGUAAGAAUAAGCACCGGCUAACUACGUGCCAGCAGCCGCGGUAAUACGUAGGGUGCAAGCGUUAAUCGGAAUUACUGGGCGUAAAGCGUGCGCAGGCGGUGAUGUAAGACAGAUGUGAAAUCCCCG
rnacentral:rRNA from 1 species